UACGGAGGAUCCGAGCGUUAUCCGGAUUUAUUGGGUUUAAAGGGAGCGUAGGCGGGUUGUUAAGUCAGUUGUGAAAGUUUGCGGCUCAACCGUAAAAUUGCAGUUGAUACUGGCAUCCUUGAGUACAGUAGAGGUAGGCGGAAUUCCUAGUGUAGCGGUGAAAUGCGUAGAUAUUAGGAGGAACACCAGUGGCGAAGGCGGCCUACUGGACGGUGACUGACGCUGAGGCUCGAAAGCGUGGGGAGCAAACAGG
rnacentral:rRNA from 1 species